GUGAGACUUAGGGGCAGGGGAGCGUAGAUGACAAGGAGACUUAGCAGCUGGGGAGUACAGAGGACACUGGAGGCCUAGCGGCUGGGGAACUUUGCUAAGCAUAGAAUCAGACAAGCAAGUGGGAAUGCAAGGUAUCCACUGAAUCCGACCAGUUUUCCUUCAAA